rnacentral:lncRNA from 1 species
CACACCCAAGUGCAUCUGGAACUGUUUUUGAGACUCAGUCCAAACUGGGACCUUUAGGCAAUACCAAAACAUAAACAGAAAUUAUGAACUGAAUGCUGAUGUGAUGCACCCUGGCUAUAACUACACUGGUUUUUUCUUUCAGACUAAAGCUUCAAACUUGUAAACCCCCACCAGCUUCACUUUACACUCCUGAGCCUGCCACUGCUCUCAGCAGACCAUCUUCACUGUACAAUGACAAACACUAGGACAGCUGUCCACAGCAUCGUGGCCAAAGUAGGAAUACCAAAAGCAGUUGGCAAAGAGAUUCCUCAACUGGCAGGAGGAUGCCAGCAGCAAGAGUGGGAAGACAAGGCUGGGAAUAAGAAGACCACUAGCACAGACAUGCUAAGAACAGCGCCCUGGUUCUUUCGGGAAUAUACAGAAGAUUCCUGUGCAGACCUGAGGGAAAAUCAUCUUACUGAUCUGUUAGCACCUCUGCUGUUAAUAUAAAUAUUGGCAAGAGUAAUAUAAAUACUGGUGGAUUCUGG